UACGAAGGGUGCUAGCGUUGUUCGGAAUUACUGGGCGUAAAGCGCGCGUAGGCGGUGAUGCAAGUCAGAGGUGAAAUCCCGGGGCUUAACCCUGGAACUGCCUUUGAAACUGCAUUGCUGGAGUGUGUGAGGGGAUAGCGGAAUUCCUAAUGUAGAGGUGAAAUUCGUAGAUAUUAGGAGGAACACCGGUGGCGAAGGCGGCUAUCUGGCACACAACUGACGCUGAGGCGCGAAAGCGUGGGGAUCAAACAGG
rnacentral:rRNA from 1 species